UACGUAGGGUGCAAGCGUUAAUCGGAAUUACUGGGCGUAAAGCGUGCGCAGGCGGUUCUAUAAGACAGAUGUGAAGUCCCCGGGCUCAACCUGGGAACUGCAUUUGUGACUGUAGAGCUGGAGUACGGUAGAGGGGGAUGGAAUUCCGCGUGUAGCAGUGAAAUGCGUAGAUAUGCGGAGGAACACCGAUGGCGAAGGCAAUCCCCCUGGACCUGUACUGACGCUCAUGCACGAAAGCGUGGGGAGCAAACAGG
rnacentral:rRNA from 1 species